rnacentral:sRNA from 1 species
UUAGAGCAUAAGAAAGCUCUCGUUGAAGGAUUUUUUAAGCUGACAACUUUUUUUUUUUUUUUUUUUUUUUGAGACAGAGUUUGCUCUUGUCCUCCAGGCUGGAGUGUGAUGGCAAGAUCUCAGCUCACUACAACCUCUGCCUCCCAGGUUCAAGAGAAUUGCUUGAACACAGGAGGCAGAGGUUGCAGCGAGCUGAGAUCGCGCCACUGUGCUCCAGCCUGGGCAACAAAGUGAGACUCUGUCUCAAAAAAAAAAAAAAAAAAAAAAAAAAAAACCCUUAAUGUCUGGCUUUGUACUUUGCAGUCUGCCUGUCUAAUCUGCAGUAGUCUUUUGAGGAGGUGGCACCGGAUAUAACAUGUCUCUGUUAUUUUUAGAACUAAUUAAAAUGUUUUGCUAUUUAAUUUGUGGGUGUGUCAAAUAUUCUGGUAACUGAAACACACUUAAGGUGUUGGAUGCCUGCCCCAUCACGCUGCACUGUCUGCUGUCACAUGUGUCCUGAAUUCACCCUGUUUUUGCCCUGGGUUUCCCAGGAUACCAAGCCCCUGAGGAUGGAGAUGAUGCAACAAACCUCAGCUU